rnacentral:rRNA from 1 species
UACGUAGGGUGCGAGCGUUGUCCGGAAUUACUGGGCGUAAAGAGCUCGUAGGUGGUUUGUCGCGUUGUUCGUGAAAACUCACAGCUCAACUGUGGGCGUGCGGGCGAUACGGGCAGACUGGAGUACUGCAGGGGAGACUGGAAUUCCUGGUGUAGCGGUGGAAUGCGCAGAUAUCAGGAAGAACACCUAUGGCGAAGGCAGCUCUCUGGGACGGUACUGACGCUGAGACGCGAAAGCGUGGGGAGCGAACAGG